GCAAGCCUAUGAUGGUUAGUUAUCCCUGUCUGAAAACCUCGGCUGAGGGGAAACCCAUCUAUUCUGAGGCUUUG
ensembl:snoRNA SNORD1A small nucleolar RNA, C/D box 1A